UCAACCAUACAUGCCAUUUCACAGCUGCAAAAUAUUAUUCCGACAAGCCAUUCUCCGUGUACUGGAUCAAGACCAUCAGCGAAGAAAGCACUUGUCUUUAUUCCUUUUCUUAUGAAAGCCAUGACGCACAAACCUAUAUCCAUCACUGUCUCACUGAUAAGGACUUGCUUAAAAGAGUGACACAUACUUCAUAUCCCUCCCAAAAUGGACGCAACUAUCAUCACCUUAAGAUGAACAAUGUCACACAUUCGGACAGUGGACAGUAUGUGUGUGCCUUAAAAGUACAAGUACAAGGUGAAAAAUGGUAGUCAGCAAAAUCUCACACUCUGAGGAUGAAAAGACGAAGAAGAUCGUUACAACCUGGUUAAAUAAAG